rnacentral:misc_RNA from 1 species
GAUGAAGAACGUAGCGAAAUGCGAUACGUAAUGUGAAUUGCAGAAUUCAGUGAAUCAUCGAGUCUUUGAACGCACAUUGCGCCCUCUGGUAUUCCGGGGGGCAUGCCUGUUCGAGCGUCAUUUCAACCCUCAAGCUCUGCUUGGUAUUGAGUCCAUGUCAGCAAUGGCAGGCUCCAAAAUCAGUGGCGGCGCCGCUGGGUCCUGAACGUAGUAAUAUCUCUCGUUACAGGUGCUCGGCGUGCUUCUGCCAAAACCCCAAUUUUUCUAUGGUUGACCUCGGAUCAGGUAGGGAUACCCGCUGAACUUAAGCAUAUCAAUAAGCGGAGGA